AUACGUAGGGGGCAAGCGUUAUCCGGAUUUACUGGGUGUAAAGGGAGUGUAGGUGGUCUGGCAAGUCAGAUGUGAAAGCCCGCGGCUCAACUGCGGGACUGCAUUUGAAACUGUCAGACUGGAGUGCAGUAGAGGAAAGUGGAAUUCCUAGUGUAGCGGUGAAAUGCGUAGAUAUUAGGAAGAACACCAGUGGCGAAGGCGGCCUUCUGGACUGUAACUGACACUGAGGCUCGAAAGCGUGGGGAGCAAACAGGAUUAGAUGCCCUGGUAGUCCACGCCGUAAACGAUGAAUACUAGGUGUCGGGUGGCAAAGCCAUUCGGUGCCGCAGCUAGCGCAAUAAGUAUUCCACCUGGGGAGUACGUUCGCAAGAAUGAAACUCAAAUGAAUUGACGGGG
rnacentral:rRNA from 1 species